GUUUGCGAUGGAAAUUUUGUCAGAAAACAAAUGCAUUCAUGGGUUUAGCGUGACGCUUUGAUGAUGACGUGACCGGAUUCUUGUCGCGAAUGGAAGUCUCGUCAAGGGUGAUCCGACGUUUUAGGAAUCGCUAUUGUCGCUCUACCUCCCUCACCUCCCAUCGAACGCAUGGCACGAGACGACGGCGCACAAUGUGCUACACAGAGUCUCGCAAAAAGAGCUCGCAGUAUAGCCUUGACUGCACGCGGGGGUUGCUAUGGCGAUAACCAGGUCCACACAUACACAUGCCCACCGAUCGCGCGCAACAGCCACCCCCGCGCGGAUAUAACUUCCCCUGUCUACCCUCCUGUCGACUCUCUCUCUCACAAACGGCGACGACCAAGAGUGUGACCCCGACCUUUCAGGUGGAUGACCUCCGCUGCAUCGCGGAUGCGCGCGCAACGGCGGACCUCACCUAGACGUGAACCCCCUCUAUUUACCGGAGACACCCUUUGGCAUUUUAUAUUAGAGAAAUGGCGAAUUGCCAGUAUAAUCAAGAAGAAUAAGAAAUGAAAAAGGAAACAAGACACAUUCUAUAAAAAGAAGCCGUAUACUUUGUUAUAAAGAAUCCGUUAUCUUUUCGUUGGGAAUUUUUCGGAAAUCGAAUAAUAAUGUAGUGACAAUAAGAUAGGGAGCUAUACUCAACGACGAAGGGUCGAUGUAUACAUAUGCGAAUGCAUCCACGAAGACGUAGCUGGUGAAGCCUGGGGCUAAAGGGAAAAGAUGGUAGGUUUUUGGAGGGUGUCUGUCUAGACGGAUUGUCUGGAAUAAGCCAUGACCGCGAAUCGACGCCUUGUUGUAACGGCAGGAAGAAGCGUAGGAUUAUAUGAGCA